GAUGAACGCUGGCGGCGUGCCUAAUACAUGCAAGUCGAGCGAACGGACGAGAAGCUUGCUUCUCUGAUGUUAGCGGCGGACGGGUGAGUAACACGUGGAUAACCUACCUAUAAGACUGGGAUAACUUCGGGAAACCGGAGCUAAUACCGGAUAAUAUUUUGAACCGCAUGGUUCAAAAGUGAAGGACGGUCUUGCUGUCACUUAUAGAUGGAUCCGCGCUGCAUUAGCUAGUUGGUAAGGUAACGGCUUACCAAGGCAACGAUGCAUAGCCGACCUGAGAGGGUGAUCGGCCACACUGGAACUGAGACACGGUCCAGACUACUACGGGAGGCAGCAGUAGGGAAUCUUCCGCAAUGGGCGAAAGCCUGACGGAGCAACGCCGCGUGAGUGAUGAAGGUCUUCGGAUCGUAAAACUCUGUUAUUAGGGAAGAACAUAUGUGUAAGUAACUGUGCACAUCUUGACGGUACCUAAUCAGAAAGCCACGGCUAACUACGUG
rnacentral:rRNA from 1 species